rnacentral:rRNA from 1 species
UCACCAGCUUGACAUGAGAAAUUCCCGUAGGCACAGGUGCUGCAUGGUUGUCGUCAGCUCGUGCCUUGAGGUGUUCGGUUAAGUCCGUUAACGAGCGCAACCCUGUCCUAGUUCUGUCUAGGAGACUGCCUUGGUUAAAAGGAGGAAGGUGUGGAUGACGUCAAAUCAGCAUGGCUUUUACGCUGGGCUACACACAUGAUACAAUGGUGUACAAGAGGCACAGUAAUGGGAGCAAUCUUAAACAAUCUCAGUCCGGAUUGAGGUCUGAAACUCGACCUCAUGAAGUUGGAAUUGCUAGUAAUCGUGAUCAGAAUGCACGGUGAAUGUGUUCCUGGGUCUUGUACUCACCGCCCGUCACGGCAUGGGAGUUAGAAAUCGAA